rnacentral:rRNA from 1 species
GAAGCCGAUGAAGGACGUUACUAACGACGAUAUGCUUUGGGGAGCUGUAAGUAAGCUUUGAUCCAGAGAUUUCCGAAUGGGGAAACCCAGCAUGAGUUAUGUCAUGUUAUCGAUAUGUGAAUACAUAGCAUAUCAGAAGGCACACCCGGAGAACUGAAACAUCUUAGUACCCGGAGGAAGAGAAAGAAAAUUCGAUUCCCUUAGUAGCGGCGAGCGAAACGGGAAGAGCCCAAACCAACAAGCUUGCUUGUUGGGGUUGUAGGACACUCUAUACGGAGUUACAAA